CGUGGUGUAGCGGUGAAAUGCUUAGAUAUCACGAAGAACUCCGAUUGCGAAGGCAGCCUGCUGGACUGUAACUGACGCUGAUGCUCGAAAGUGUGGGUAUCAAACAGGAUUAGAUACCCUGGUAGUCCACACAGUAAACGAUGAAUACUCGCUGUUUGCGAUAUACAGUAAGCGGCCAAGCGAAAGCAUUAAGUAUUCCACCUGGGGAGUACGCCGGCAACGGUGAAACUCAAAGGAAUUGACGGGGGCCCGCACAAGCGGAGGAACAUGUGGUUUAAUUCGAUGAUACGCGAGGAACCUUACCCGGGCUUAAAUUGCAACAGAAUAUAUUGGAAACAGUAUAGCCGUAAGGCUGUUGUGAAGGUGCUGCAUGGUUGUCGUCAGCUCGUGCCGUGAGGUGUCGGCUUAAGUGCCAUAACGAGCGCAACCCUUAUCUUUAGUUACUAACAGGUCAUGCUGAGGACUCUAGAGAGACUGCCGUCGUAAGAUGUGAGGAAGGUGGGGAUGACGUCAAAUCAGCACGGCCCUUACGUCCGGGGCUACACACGUGUUACAAUGGGGGGUACAGAAGGCAGCUACACGGCGACGUGAUGCUAAUCCCGAAAGCCUCUCUCAGUUCGGAUUGGAGUCUGCAACCCGACUCCAUGAAGCUGGAUUCGCUAGUAAUCGCGCAUCAGCCACGGCGCGGUGAAUACGUUCCCGGGCCUUGUACACACCGCCCGUCAAGCCAUGGGAGCCGGGGGUACCUGAAGUGCGUAACCGCGAGGAGCGCCCUAGGGUAAAACUGGUGACUGGGGCUAAGUCGUAACAAGGUAGCCGUACCGGAAGGUGCGGCUG
rnacentral:rRNA from 1 species